rnacentral:lncRNA from 1 species
CACUAAUUCAAAUUAAGGGAAUAUUUGUUGUGUGUUCUAAACAAAAGUGCAUCAUCUCUGUUCAGGAAGCUAUAAAAUAAAUACUGGAAGCUUAAUCUGAUGAUGAAUGUCCACAUCUUAAAAAUGAAACUUUGUGAAUUUUAAAAUUAUAUCCUCUGAUUGUAGUCUCAGGCAGAUACACCUUUUCCAAACUUGUUUUAUAGAAGACAGUGUUUGAACUAAGCCCAAUAGCUCAUAAGAGUGUGUCUAUUAUUUACAUUUACACUAUCAAAUAGUGGCAAACCUGCAACCAGCAUGAUUCACCAUGCUAACAUGGACAAGGAAGGAGGAAACAAAAUCAAGUUUAUCCAGAACCUCAUGUUAAUCAAUUAAAAAAAAAAAAAAACCUAAUGUUGCCAGCAAGCAUAAAUAAAAUUUCAUCUCCUUGCGAGACUUUCACACAGCCACUGGUCAAAGUACUACAGAGGACAAGGAAGAAGACUGCUAUAGAACCUCCACAAGUCCAUUCAAGCCAACAUUCUAUCUUGUUAGCAGCCUGAAAGACAUGCACUAUAUGCAUAUUUCUUUGAAUAAGUAAUUAUGGAACUACAUAUCAGUGAAUAUUAUACAUGGCUAAAUCUGAAGUGUGGUCAGUAAUGACUUUGAGUAGUUCCAAGGUACAAGUGGGAGGCCUGUCAAAGAUUUCUAAGAUCUCGACAAGUUUAAAGUUCCAAUGAUUCUAUGGAAACUGAUUACCAUGGUAAUUUUAAAACUAAUAAUUCUAAGUAGCAGUAUAAAUUAAAGACAACAUUGGAUGCAUUUAAAUCAACUAAUAGUGCAGACAUUAAUUCACUGAACAAUUAUUUACUAAGUGCUUAGCAUGUGAAACAACUGUGUUUAUAACUGAGGAUACAGCUUUGAACAAGAUGUGUUCCCUGUCCUACUGGGGGAAGGAUGGGCAUUAAACAAGCAAUAAUAAUAAGACCUUGAUUGUCCCUGAGAAUAAGUGCUUCCAAGACAAGAUCAAGAGUUCUCUCUCAAAAGAAAAUGUUUUAAAAUAUUUUGAAAUUAAAAAAUACCAAAAGACUUCACACAACUUCUGAAGGAGAAAACAAAACAAACAAAAAUCUUUCCUUUCCCUAAAGCUUUGAUAAAGCCCCUGAGCUCCACAGUCUGUGGGAAGAGAGUGCUAGGCCCAGAAGAAGGUGGGG